GACGAACGCUGGCGGCGUGCUUAACACAUGCAAGUCGAACGGAAAGGCCCUGCUUUUGUGGGGUGCUCGAGUGGCGAAUGGGUGAGUAACACGUGAGUAACCUGCCCUUGACUUUGGGAUAACUUCAGGAAACUGGGGCUAAUACCGGAUAGGAGCUCCUGCUGCAUGGUGGGGGUUGGAAAGUUUCGGCGGUUGGGGAUGGACUCGCGGCUUAUCAGCUUGUUGGUGGGGUAGUGGCUUACCAAGGCCUUGACGGGUAGCCGGCCUGAGAGGGUGACCGGCCACAUUGGGACUGAGAUACGGCCCAGACUCCUACGGGAGGCAGCAGUGGGGAAUAUUGCACAAUGGGCGGAAGCCUGAUGCAGCAACGCCGCGUGCGGGAUGACGGCCUUCGGGUUGUAAACCGCUUUCGCCUGUGACGAAGCGUGAGUGACGGUAAUGGGUAAAGAAGCACCGGCUAACUACGUG
rnacentral:rRNA from 1 species